GAUGAACGCUGGCGGCGUGCCUAAUACAUGCAAGUCGAGCGAACAGACGAGGAGCUUGCUCCUCUGACGUUAGCGGCGGACGGGUGAGUAACACGUGGAUAACCUACCUAUAAGACUGGGAUAACUUCGGGAAACCGGAGCUAAUACCGGAUAAUAUAUUGAACCGCAUGGUUCAAUAGUGAAAGACGGUUUUGCUGUCACUUAUAGAUGGAUCCGCGCCGCAUUAGCUAGUUGGUAAGGUAACGGCUUACCAAGGCAACGAUGCGUAGCCGACCUGCGAGGGUGGUAGGCCACACUGGAGCUGGGACACGGUCCAGACUCCUAAGGGAGGCAGCAGUAGGGAAUCGUCCGCAAUGGGCGAAAGCCUGACGGAGCAACGCCGCGUGAGUGAUGAAGGUCUUCGGAUCGUAAAACUCUGUUAUUAGGGAAGAACAAAUGUGUAAGUAGCUAUGCACGUCUUGACGGUACCUAAUCAGAAAGCCACGGCUAACUACGUG
rnacentral:rRNA from 1 species